rnacentral:lncRNA from 1 species
GGAGACGGGACGCCGUUCGAGAAGAGGCGGAACUUUCAAAACCCCCGGGCGGAGAAAGGGCGUGGCGAGUGGUGCCUGGGCGCUGGCGUUGAACCGGCGGGAUGACUAGCAACCGAGCCUUUUUCGAGGUUCUUAGAGAUUAUUUUAACAGCACUGGCUUGACAGCUCAGUCAUGCAUAUCAAAAGAAGUUUAUGCACAAUUGAAGGACACCAGCUAAAAUUUGAACAAAUAAGAGAUUUGUAACUGGGGAUCCCCUGGAAGAAUCGUCUGGAAAUUACGACCUUCAUCUGGCAAUUGCAGCUGUUAAAGUCUCCAAAGAAGCCAUUCUUACAUUGUGUUGUGAAAUUAUUACUCUAUCUCAAAUCUGUGCCAGAAAGAAAAUAAAAUGUGUGUUUAUGUGUAUAUUAUAAGCUAUGU